AAGUCGUAACAAGGUUUCCGUAGGUGAACCUGCGGAAGGAUCAUUAACACAUACAUGUACUCAACCCACAUGUAUUUACCCCCCUUUUGCAAACGUGUUUUUCUCCAGUCUUCCCGGGCGUGUGCGAACAACACCGUUGUUUGUGUUACGUCUGUGGUUUUAACUUUUAAUAUUUAACCCCUUGAACUUUUUUGGACUGACAUCUGAGUGCUUAAAAACCACUCUGCCAUUAUAUUUAACGCUGAACAACUCUUAGCAACGGAUAUCUUGGCUCUC
rnacentral:misc_RNA from 1 species